UUUGGUGUUAAGCUAGCCAACCCUUGAACGGUUCAAGGGUUGGCUAGCUUUCGAGCUUCAAUAGCUUGCAGGCUCUGCUAUGGCACAUAAAAAUCAACCAAAUAAAAGAGCUGCUCACUGCGCUGCAUCAGUAGGUGAUUCACUGUAUGUAUGGGCUGGCAAUCAAGAUGGUUUACCUGAAGUACAUGAUAAUGAAAAGAAGAGAAGGAUCACUAGUAAUAUACAGCACUUUACUCCUUCAACUGGUCAAUGGA